rnacentral:rRNA from 1 species
UCAAAGGUUCCCUCAGAAUGGUUGGAAAUCAUUCAUAGAGUGUAAAGGCAUAAGGGAGCUUGACUGCGAGACCUACAAGUCGAGCAGGGUCGAAAGACGGACUUAGUGAUCCGGUGGUUCCGCAUGGAAGGGCCAUCGCUCAACGGAUAAAAGCUACCCCGGGGAUAACAGGCUUAUCUCCCCCAAGAGUUCACAUCGACGGGGAGGUUUGGCACCUCGAUGUCGGCUCAUCGCAUCCUGGGGCUGUAGUCGGUCCCAAGGGUUGGGCUGUUCGCCCAUUAAAGCGGUACGCGAGCUGGGUUCAGAACGUCGUGAGACAGUUCGGUCCCUAUCCGUCGUGGGCGUAGGAAAUUUGAGAGGAGCUGUCCUUAGUACGAGAGGACCGGGAUGGACAUACCUCUGGUGUACCAGUUGUCGUGCCAACGGCAUAGCUGGGUAGCUAUGUGUGGACGGGAUAAGUGCUGAAAGCAUCUAAGCAUGAAGCCCCCCUCAAGAUGAGAUUUCCCAACUUCGGUUAUAAGAUCCCUCAAAGAUGAUGAGGUUAAUAGGUUCGAGGUGGAAGCAUGGUGACAUGUGGAGCUGACGAAUACUAAUCGAUCGAAGACUUAAUCAA